rnacentral:rRNA from 1 species
GAGUUUGAUCCUGGCUCAGAAUCAACGCUGGCGGCGUGCCUAACACAUGCAAGUCGAGCGAGAAAGGGGACUUCGGUCCCUGAGUAGAGCGGCGGACGGGUGAGUAACACGUGGGUCAUCUACCCUCGGGUGGGGAAUAACUCAGGGAAACCUGGGCUAAUUCCGCAUAACAUCGCAAGAUCAAAGCUGGGGAUCCUUCGGGACCUGGCGCCUGAGGAGGAGCCCGCGGCCAAUUAGCUUGUUGGUGAGGUAAUGGCUCACCAAGGCUUCGAUUGGUAGCCGGCCUGAGAGGGCGGACGGCCACACUGGGACUGAGACACGGCCCAGACUCCUACGGGAGGCAGCAGUGGGGAAUUUUUGUCAAUGGGGGCAACCCUGAACAAGCAACGCCGCGUGAAGGACGAAGACCUUCGGGUUGUAAACUUCUGUCGGAGGGGACGAAGGCGGUAUUGGUUAAUACCCAGUAUCGUUGACGGUACCCUACGAGGAAGCCCCGGCUAACUCCGUGCCAGCAGCCGCGGUAAUACGGGGGGGGCAAGCGUUGUUCGGAUUUACUGGGCGUAAAGGGCGCGCAGGCGGGCGA